rnacentral:misc_RNA from 1 species
GAUGAAGAACGUAGCGAAAUGCGAUAAGUAAUGUGAAUUGCAGAAUUCAGUGAAUCAUCGAAUCUUCGAACGCACAUUGCGCCCGCCAGCAUUCUGGCGGGCAUGCCUGUUCGAGCGUCAUUUCAACCCUCGAGCCCCCCCGGGGGCCUCGGUGUUGGGGGACGGCACACCAGCCGCCCCCGAAAUGCAGUGGCGACCCCGCCGCAGCCUCCCCUGCGUAGUAGCACACACCUCGCACCGGAGCGCGGAGGCGGUCACGCCGUAAAACGCCCAACUUUCUUAGAGUUGACCUCGGAUCAGGUAGGAAUACCCGCUGAACUUAAGCAUAUCAAUAAGCGGAGGA